rnacentral:lncRNA from 1 species
GCCAGGUAGGAAAAGCCAGGUAUAAACAUGAUCUAUGUGUUUGCUAGUAGUAAAGUGACCUUGCGGUAUCCCUAAUUAAUAUCUACCUAGCACACACUGUUUUCUCUCCCCAGCAUGAUGAUUUGAGGGAUGAGGAAGAGAAAAGGAAGGGGCCUGAAUGAGGCUGAGAUCUACUCAGUGCCUGUGCCAGAGCGAAAAGGGUCUCCAGGGAGGAGUGACCCGAGGGGACGGCAUCUCCAGCAAGGUGUGACAAGAGCCCCAGCAGCCCAGGAUGGCUACAAGGACAGUGCAAAACAGGGAAGGGGACUGACUGUCUUCUGAAAUCACUGGAGAAGAUACAGAGCACGUAGUUAAAGGAAAGCAUAAAAAGUAAAAAUAAACACCAGCA